GACUAUGUCAAAAAUUAUACCAGCUGCCAAGGACAUGAUUAAUGUAACCAACACUCUGAUAAUGUAAUCUAUGUGACGUGAUCAAUGGUCCUGCCCUUGAAGACAAUCUGGGAACUUCUGCAGGUCCAGAAAGCAGCAGUGCGUCUUUUUUCAGUUCAAACAUCUGGGGAGUAAUUAACAACUCGGAAGCUAUGAAGAAAGGAGGAGUUUGGAAAAUGGCAGAGCUGCAAGGAGCUCAGCAGGACCAUCUACAGAACACUAUUUGGAGGAUGUCAAAGAAGAAAAUUGUCUUUCACAGAAGUGAUCCAGGAAACUAUGGGUAAAAAAAGGCCUCAAUACAAUCAGAAUAUGCGAGUGCUUUGAAUUUAACAAUGCAUCACUGCUACAAAGUAAUUUCUUAUUGUUGUCUUAAAAAAAUUAUCCUGUGAGGGAAGAUUUGACAUUAUUCUUUAAGAUAAUGCCAAAUAUCCUCGAUUCUGAAGUCUAAUAUUCUGAGACUACCAGAAAGUAAUUUGUUCUCCAUGCAUGAAUAAACAGCUAUAUAUUUUAUAACUCCCAAAGUAUGUAUUUUUACUUCCUACUCAGUGGAAAGCCAGUGUAAAAGGAAAUGAAUAAAUUAGUUUUCACUCCGAUGAAUGUGUAUGUGUUUACUAUUUUGAAGUUUUAGAAGGAAGUCUUCUCAUU